CUUCUUCUUCUAACUUAGGGAAUUUAAGUUCUCAAGAGCAAAAAGAAAAAGACAUGGCUCAAACAAUGUUGCUGACAGCCAAUGCCAAAGUUGAUUUAAGGAGUAAAGAAUCCUUAGUCGAAAGACUAAAGCCUAAGCCUUUGUCUUCUUUCUUUUUGCCUUCUCUUCCUUUGAAAUACCCUUCUGCUUCUGCUUCUGCUUCUUCACAUUUCACAAGUACUACUGUUGCUCUUUUCAAGUCUAAAGCCAAAGCUCCAGCCAAAAAGGUUAGCUAAUUACUGUUGACAAAAAGUCCUUAGCUUAUCCCCUUUUAUUAUAUACUGUAUGUAUUUUGUUAAUUUUCAUUUACCGUCUUUCUUUAAUUUGUUGAAUAUCUUAUUUUUUGAUGGAGCAACAGGUUGUACCAAAGCCAAAGGAAAAAGUUGAGGAUGGGAUUUUUGGAACCUCAGGAGGAAUUGGUUUCACUAAGCAAAAUGAGCUCUUUGUUGGCCGUGUUGCUAUGAUUGGUUUUGCGGUGAGUAUUUCGAUUAAUUAGUUUAUCUUAAUUUUUUAAUGGUUCUUAAAUUAAAAAUAAACAAAAGACUUUUAUUACUCUACUAAAGGCUCAAUACUAUAGUAUUUGCAUAGUUAGACAAAUGAGUCGCAUCCCAAGACCAAAGCCUUAUUUUAUUGAACAGGUAACGGAUAAUGUGGUAUCAGUUCGAAAAAAAAUUAUUCGGACUCAAUGCAUGUAUCAUAAUUCAUAACAUGUAGAUUUGUCGUAGUUAAGUGAUAAUUAUAUUAAUUAAAAUUUUGUGUUUACUUGCACUUGUUGCUAUGAUAUCGCUUUGUCUAGUGAUAAUUCAAUGUAAAAAUUCAUAUUAAUUAUAUAUAGAGAGCUCUGUGUUUAAAUUGUUCUGUGUAUAGAUGCUAUAGAAAACUUUGGAUUUUUGGACCAUUUCAAAUGUGGACAAAGAGUAUGAGAAAAUAUCCUUUACAUUUUGAAAAUACUUUGACACCUUCUGAUUCCUCCUUAAUAACUAGCCCGUUUGUUCAUAAUUUUUUUUUUCAAUUAUUUUUUCAGAAAUGAGUUUUUCAAAAACCAAAAAGUGAUUUUGACCAUUUUUUUUCCAAAUUUUCAGAAAAACUUUUUUCUCCCUCACAAAACUGCAAUAUUUUUUCAAAUGAAAUGCAUGCCAAACAUAAUUUUAAAUUCCAAAUACCAUUUUUCAACUUAACUCUAAAUACUAGUAGUAAUUUCAAAAAUUACAAUUUUUAUGUCCAAACUCCUACUAAAAUUUAAGUGAUAUUUCCUGGUAUAAAUACAUAAAUUUUGCAGCACUAAUGUAAUGAAGUUAUAUAGGCAUCUUUGUUGGGAGAAGCAAUAACAGGAAAGGGAAUAUUGGCACAACUGAAUCUUGAAACUGGAAUUCCAAUCUAUGAAGCAGAGCCACUACUAUUGUUCUUCAUCCUAUUCAAUCUGCUUGGAGCCAUUGGAGCUUUGGGAGACAGAGGAAAAUUUAUUGAUGACCCUGCCCCUCCUACUGGUCUUGAUAAGGCUGUUAUCCCUCCUGGCAAAGGCUUUAAGUCUGCUUUGGGACUUAGCGAAGGAGGUAUUUACUAUAACAACCUCCACUUUUUCUUCAUAUAUACUAUGUAUACUUGACGAGGGUUUGUCAGCUUAUUGUUUUUGACUUGUUUUAAUCACUUUAUAGUUUUGUUAAAUACUGAAAAAGAGUUUAAAAGUUGAUUUGACAAACUUAAUAGCCAAUCCAAAAACCCUCUAAACCCUUGGGGGUGGCUGAAUUGGUUGAGCAUGGGACUUCACAAAUUGGAGGUCUAGAGUUCGAAACUACUUGCAUGCCUCUUCAGUCGAGCAUGUCGCACGGGACUUGUUAUUAGUGGAGUUUACCAUGUGUGCACCCUAUAACUCUUUAGGGGGCACUGGUUAAGCAAAAUACCAUGUCCCGUUGCGAAAAAAUCUUGGAUCCGCCUCUAGUAGCGGCUACGGGUUAUAUAUUUUGUCUUUUUAUUAAUUGAGUUGUACCAGCUGCAUUUAGACAAAGAUACUCCUUUUUAGGAGUAAAAUUAUCUACAGUAUUUUAUAGUGUUUGAGUUGGUUUCAAGAAUCAACUUGUGGUACUAUAAACAUGUACAUUAUGAAAGAGGUGUAUAAAAUAAUCUUUAGUUUGUUUGGCGUUGGAUUUAACGAAAGCGUUGUGUAUAUAUAUAUAUAUAUAUAUAUAUAUAUAUAUAUAUGCAGGUCCUCUAUUUGGAUUCACAAAGGCAAAUGAGCUGUUUGUAGGAAGGUUGGCACAACUGGGAAUUGCUUUCUCCAUUAUAGGAGAAAUUAUCACAGGGAAAGGAGCUUUGGCACAACUUAACUUUGAGACAGGUGUCCCAAUCAAUGAGAUUGAGCCCCUUUUGUUGUUUAACAUUGUCUUCUUCUUCGUUGCUGCCAUAAAUCCAGGAACUGGC
rnacentral:lncRNA from 1 species